rnacentral:pre_miRNA from 1 species
UCUUAUGGUUGAGCAAAGAAAGUGGUUUCUUGAGAUGGAAUCUAUACUUGGUGAAGAUGCUGUGAA